AUUGAACGCUGGCGGCAGGCCUAACACAUGCAAGUCGAACGGUAACAGGAAGCAUCUUGCUGCUUUGCUGACGAGUGGCGGACGGGUGAGUCAUGUCUUGGAAACUGCCCGAUGGAGGGGGUUAACUACUGGAAACGGUUGCUAAUACCGCAUAUCUUCCCAAGACCAAUGAGGGGGACCUUAGUGCCUCUUUCCAUCGGAUGUGCCCAGAUGGGAUUAGCUAGUAGGUGGGGUAACGGCUUACCUAGGCGCCGAUCCCUAGCUGGUCUGAGAGGAUGACCAGCCACACUGGAACUGAGACACGGUCCAGACUCCUACGGGAGGUAGCAGUGGGGAAUAUUGCGCAAUGGGCGAAAGCCUGAUGGAGCAAAGCCGCGUGAAUGAAGAAGGACUUCGGGUUGUAAAGCAAUUUCAGCGGGGAGGAAGGAAGUAAAGUUAACACCUGAGCAUAUUGACGGUACCGGCAGAAGAAGCACCGGCUAACUCCGUG
rnacentral:rRNA from 1 species